rnacentral:tRNA from 1 species
GGGGAUAUAGCUCAGUGGUAGAGUACGCGCUUAGCAUGCACAAGAUCCUGGAUUCAAACCCAGAGCCUCCA